UACGUAGGGGCCGAGCGUUGUCCGGAGUUAUUGGGCGUAAAGCGCGCGCAGGCGGCCUCGCGCGCCCGACGUGAAAGCCCCCGGCUUAACCGGGGAGGGUCGUUGGGGACGGCGGGGCUUGAGGGCGGGAGAGGGUGGUGGAAUUCCCGGUGUAGUGGUGAAAUGCGUAGAGAUCGGGAGGAACACCCGUGGCGAAGGCAGCUCGCUGGGACGGUACUGACGCUGAGACGCGAAAGCGUGGGGAGCAAACAGG
rnacentral:rRNA from 1 species